GAUGAACGCUGGCGGCGUGCCUAAUACAUGCAAGUCGAGCGAACCACUUCGGUGGUGAGCGGCGAACGGGUGAGUAACACGUAGGUGAUCUGCCCAUCAGACGGGGACAACGAUUGGAAACGAUCGCUAAUACCGGAUAGGACGAAAGUUUAAAGGUGCUUCUGGCACCGCUGAUGGAUGAGCCUGCGGCGCAUUAGCUAGUUGGUAGGGUAAAGGCCUACCAAGGAGAAGAUGCGUAGCCGACCUGAGAGGGUGAACGGCCACACUGGGACUGAGACACGGCCCAGACACCUACGGGAGGCAGCAGUAGGGAAUCUUCGGCAAUGGGCGAAAGCCUGACCGAGCAACGCCGCGUGAAUGAUGAAGGCCCUCGGGUUGUAAAAUUCUGUUAUAAGGGAAGAACGACUUUAGUAGGAAAUGGCUAGAGUGUGACGGUACCUUAUGAGAAAGCCACGGCUAACUACGUGCCAGCCGCCGCCGUAAGAC
rnacentral:rRNA from 1 species